rnacentral:pre_miRNA from 1 species
AAUAAGUGCAGUUUUGCACUAUUCACGUUCAACGUUUGACCGUCCGUCUUAUUUGAAAAAUUUNUAAUCAUAAAAAAUUUUUAAAUAAGACGGACGGUCAAACGUUGAACGUGAAUAGUGCAAAACUGCACUUAUU